rnacentral:lncRNA from 1 species
CAGAUUCUUGGGAAGUGUGACUUCAUGUCUGAUCUUCAGCUAAUACCGCCUCCCUCAGCGGUACCCCAUCUCUCCUAGUCUCCUGUUGGUGUGAAGUCAGAGAACACUGCGCUGUAUCCUUUCCAAAGCAUCGUCUGGACCUCUUGGCUCCUAAAGCUCCACGUGUAGGCCUCUUUUUCAGGUCUAACUCUCUUGAUUCAUACAAACAAAGAAAAGCUCAAAAGAGGAAUCUGGGCCAGCUCUAUGGGAUUAACGGUGCCUCUGCCGUUGAAGGCCUCAGGACCCCUUUAAGUUCUCAGGAUCUGCCAGUUGGUACAAAUGCAAAAAGGAAUGGGCGGCUGACACCUCUAGAAAGGAAUUUUCUCCCUCUCUCCGGCCCAGAGAACUGGUUUAUUAGACAAAAGAACCUCAAAUGUGGAUUAGGAAUGAAUUAUCCUCUUAACUUCAGGCACAUGAACAUCAUAAAAACAGC